rnacentral:tRNA from 1 species
GGUGGGGUAUGUUUUGUACGGGAUGAG